AAUCAACGCUGGCGGCGUGCCUCAGACAUGCAAGUCGAACGAUUAAAGCUCUCUUCGGAGGGUGCAUAGAGUGGCGCACGGGUGAGUAACACGUAAGUAAUCUACCUUCGAGUGGGGAAUAACGUCCGGAAACGGACGCUAAUACCGCAUAAUGCAGCGGCAUCGUAAGAUGACAGUUGUUAAAGAUUUAUCGCUUGAAGAGGAGCUUGCGGCAGAUUAGCUAGUUGGUAAGGUAAUGGCUUACCAAGGCUACGAUCUGUAACCGGUCUUAGAGGACGGUCGGUCACACUGACACUGAAUAACGGGUCAGACUCCUAUGGAGGCAGCAGUCGGGAAUUUUGGGCAAUGGGCGAAAGCCUGACCCAGCAACGCCGCGUGAAGGAUGAAGUAUUUCGGUAUGUAAACUUCGAAAGAAUAGGAAGAAUAAAUGACGGUACUAUUUAUAAGCUCCGGCUAACUACGUGCCAGCAAACCGCGGUAAAU
rnacentral:rRNA from 1 species